GGGAGGGGGGGCCAGCGUUGUUCGGAAUUAUUGGGCGUAAAGGGCGCGUAGGGCGGCCUGGUAAGUCGGGGCGUGAAAUCCCGCGGGCUCAACCGCGGAACUGCGCUCGAAACUGCCGGGCUUGAGUCCCGGAGAGGGUAGCGGAAUUCCCAGUGUAGCGGUGAAAUGCGUAGAUAUUGGGAGGAACACCAGUGGCGAAGGCGGCUACCUGGACGGGUACUGACGCUGAGGCGCGAAAGCGUGGGGAGCAAACAGGAUUAGAUACCCUGGUAGUCCACGCUGUAAACGAUGGGCACUUGGUGUUGCGGGUAUCGACCCCUGCAGUGCCGAAGCUAACGCAUUAAGUGCCCCGCCUGGGGAGUACGGUCGCAAGGCUG
rnacentral:rRNA from 1 species